rnacentral:rRNA from 1 species
GAGUUUGAUCGUGGCUCAGAUUGAACGCUGGCGGCAUGCCUUACACAUGCAAGUCGAACGGCAGCAUGAUCUAGCUUGCUAGAUUGAUGGCGAGUGGCGAACGGGUGAGUAAUACAUCGGAACGUGCCCUGUAGUGGGGGAUAACUAGUCGAAAGAUUAGCUAAUACCGCAUACGACCUGAGGGUGAAAAGUGGGGGACCGCAAGGCCUCAUGCUAUAGGAGCGGCCGAUGUCUGAUUAGCUAGUUGGUGGGUAAAGGCCCACCAAGGCGACGAUCAGUAGCUGGUCUGAGAGGACGAUCAGCCACACCUGGGACUGAGACACGGCCCAGACUCCUACCGGGAGGCAGCAGUGGGGAAUUUUGGACAAUGGGCGAAAGCCUGAUCCAGCAAUGCCGCGUGUGUGAAGAAGGCCUGGUUGUAAGG